rnacentral:rRNA from 1 species
AGCGAACGCUGGCGGCAGGCCUAACACAUGCAAGUCGAGCGGAUGAAGAGAGCUUGCUCUCUGAUUUAGCGGCGGACGGGUGAGUAAUGCCUAGGAAUCUGCCUGGUAGUGGGGGAUAACGUUCCGAAAGGAACGCUAAUACCGCGUACGUCCUACGGGAGAAAGCAGAGGACCUUCGGGCCUUGCGCUAUCAGAUGAGCCUAGGUCGGAUUAGCUAGUUGGUGAGGUAAUGGCUCACCAAGGCUACGAUCCGUAACUGGUCUGAGAGGAUGGUCAGUCACGCUGGAACUGAGACACGGUCCAGACUCCUACGGGAGGCAGCAGUGGGGAAUAUUGGACAAUGGGCGAAAGCCUGAUCCAGCCAUGCCGCGUGUGUGAAGAAGGUCUUCGGAUUGUAAAGCACUUUAAGUUGGGAGGAAGGGCAGUAAGUUAAUACCUUGCUGUUUUGACGUUACCGACAGAAUAAGCACCGGCUAACUCUGUGCCAGCCGCCGCCGUAACAC